rnacentral:rRNA from 1 species
AACGAACGCUGGCGGCGUGCCUAACACAUGCAAGUCGCGCGCGAACGGAGCAAUCCUAGUAGAGCGGCGCACGGGUGCGUAACACGUAAAUAAUCUACCUCUGUGUCUGGAAUAACCGUCCGAAAGGAUGGCUAAUGCCAGAUAAGCUCGGCGCCAGAUUGAUGUCGAGGUAAAGCAGGCCUCUAUUUAUAAGCUUGCGCACAAAGAUGAGUUUGCGGCCCAUCAGCUAGUUGGUGAGGUAAAGGCUCACCAAGGCUACGACGGGUAGCUGGUCUGAGAGGACGAUCAGCCACACUGGAACUGAGACACGGUCCAGACUCCUACGGGAGGCAGCAGUGGGGAAUUUUCCACAAUGGGCGAAAGCCUGAUGGAGCAACGCCGCGUGUGUGAUGAAGGUCUUCGGAUUGUAAAGCACUUUCGAUCGGGACGAAAACCACCAGCUAACAUCUGGGGCCUGACGGUACCGAGAGAAGAAGCACC